UACAGAGGGGGCAAGCGUUGUUCGGAAUUACUGGGCGUAAAGGGCGCGUAGGCGGCCUGUUAAGUCGAACGUGAAAUCCCCGGGCUCAACCCGGGAACUGCGUCCGAUACUGGCAGGCUUGAAUCCGGGAGAGGGAUGCGGAAUUCCAGGUGUAGCGGUGAAAUGCGUAGAUAUCUGGAGGAACACCGGGGGCGAAGGCGGCAUCCUGGACCGGCAUUGACGCUGAGGCGCGAAAGCCAGGGGAGCAAACGGG
rnacentral:rRNA from 1 species